rnacentral:lncRNA from 1 species
ACACACACACACACACACACACACACACACACACACUCUUUUGGUAAGGGAAAAUGAAUUGUUCUGGGGAGGUACCUGAUCAGACAGACAAAGCGGAUAAGGAAGUGACAUAGGCAUUGACGUACAGGUAACUGACAAAAUAAAGGAAACACCAACAUAGUGUCUUAAUAGGGCGUUGGGCCACUACAAGCCACCACAAAAACUUCAAUGCGCCUUGGCAGAGAUUCUACAAAGGUCUGGAACUCUAUUGAUGGGAUGCGACACCUGUGGAGACAAAUCCGAUUCAAAAGUCAAACGGGCGCAACAUAGCUUGCGCAAGCAAGAUCAAACAUCAUUGCACAAGCAAACACUUGAGCUGAGAGAGAAGAAAUGUGGUCGAGCGAGCAGAGGACGGGUCCCAUGAGCGCAGGCAAGCAUGGCCGGUGGUAGCUGGUCCACUACAGGACGCUGAGGUGCGGGAGGUCCCUCCGCCCCCCCCUGGACAUCGGGGGGGCCCCGGUGUACACAGUCCGGGCCAUCCUGGACUCCCGACGUCGGGUAGGGGGCCUGCAGUACCUCGUGGACUGGGAGGGGUACGGCCCGGAGGAGAGGUGCUGGGUUCCGGUUCGGGACAUUUGUGAUCCAGCUAUGCUACAGGAGUUUCAUCGUCUCCGGCCGGCCGGAGCGGCCGGCGCCUCGCCCUCCGGGUCGUCCCCGAGGCCGACGUUGGCGCCCUGCGGGAGCCGCGCGUCAGGGGAGGGGUACUGUCACAGUAUCCACCGAGGAUGGCGCCCCUCCUCGGUCGGCCGGCGCUCGGCGGUCGUCGUCGCCGGUCUACUAGCUACCACCGAUCUAUGUUUCCGUGUUCUUUGGUUUUUGUCUGCUCUAGCCCGCACCUGUCUCUUGUCUGUCAUUAGUGGGGAGGUAUUUAGUUUUUUUCUUUGGGUUCGUCUUUGUGCGGGAUUGUUUGUUUGUCAGCGGGCAGGUCUGUGUACGUUCUGUGCUUUUUGCACAUUUUUCCCCAGCGGAUUCUCGCUGGAUGAAUAUUGCAUUUGCCGGGCUGCGCCCCGUGAGUAUUUUUGUUUACUGUGUUCCCGUGUGGUCUCUGGACGCACCCUAUGCCCUUUUGUUACGCCGAGUGGUUUUUCGGUGCAAUAAAUAUAUCAUUCUAUGACACUACUGGACUACGUCUCCUGCGUUUUGACUCUGCCCUUUCCUCCUGCCUUAAGGAACCGUGACACAUAUCCUUGCUUCAGGUCAUGAGCUACAGGCAGUUCGAUUUGGGUAUGUCUUCUUAGGCGAAAAUUGAAAAAAAGGGUCCGGUCCAC